AUUUUUAAAGAGCACCUAUUAUGGGAUACACGUUUUUAAACAUCAUUUUGUGUGUAAGUGUGUAUUAGUACAUGCUAACGAUAUUCAAAAAGUACAUACCUCAAAGAAAACGAUGACGCGAGUUAUCGUCUCUAACGUUCGAGGACUACAAAAAACACUCGGAUUGUAGGCAACAGUUUACUUCCUGGGAUUAGUGACGUAGAUAAGACCAACAUUAUCAUAGUUCAGCCCUCUCUGCUUUGCUUGGGUACGCCCUCAAAGACGAGGGUGGGGAGCGCCGAGUCAGAAGAGAGCUAAAAUGGCGGAGGUUGGGAGUCCCUGCUUUUACUCUGUUUGCAAACUCUUGUUUCAUCGUUUAAGCGAUUAAAUCUCUCGAGUAGACGCUGUCUCUUUAGAUGCAAGGGCAAAAUAGCACUUUAUGGACUUCCACAGAGGACAUCAUGUUUAAUACGGUUCCGGAAAAAUCCAGUCAGAAGUUGUUCACGGAGUUUUCACAAUAACUGCUUCUCAUGAACCGAAGCUGGAUUUGCGCGACGUCUCCUCCUGAAAGUUGGAUUACUGUGCACUUCUGGAUCACAGGCUAUUCGCAGCUGGACACAUCCUUCUACACUGUAUGCAAACAUGCAACAUCAUUACACACAGUACAAGGAGUCAGACUGGCAUAUGAGGAGCAAAGGUUGUACCUUGCAGCCAUCCAUUACAAUGUCACCAAGCCAUAACAAAAGCAGGAGAGGGAAAGUACAAGGCUAUGUUCCCAAAACACACAAGUGACAUACCUUAUGUGGAUGAUGUGAUCAGGCUUGUGUUUGAUGAAGUAUUUGAAGAUAAGCUGAAGGAAACCCCGAUUCCAAUGGACCUGGCAUCACAGUUUGAGAAACCUUCAAAGGAGGACGUGAUUGCAUGCCAUCUUCAGUGCAGGGGUCGUCGGAAGCCAACAUUCCAAUCAGGAAGCUCCAAGCAUAUCUGGAGAACAACACACGACAGGAUGAUAACCCUAAAGUGUCAUCUUAGAUAGCACUAGCUGACAAAGCUUUGAUAUGCCAUUUAUCUGAAUAGAUAGCUGUAAGAAGUGAAUUGAACAAUUUUUGAAACAAGAGCACAAUAUGGUUACUAAAGUAUGUUUAUUUGUAUAUUGUUUAACAUUUAAAUAUAUAUUUGUAAUAAAUAAACUUUUGACUGACUACUAUAUUUUCUUUAAAGUUACAUCUUUUGUUCUUUUGGGUACUUUGUUACUAUAAUAAUACUUUAGUGUUAUUGGUUUAAAAAUGUAAUAAAACUUAAUCUAGUCCUGCGCCUCAAAGGCUUAUAGUCGGUACAAUAAAUGUUCUGUGUGUAGGGAUUUAGACAAUUUGUGCAAAACCUGGAU